GUAUCAUGGCUCAGGACGAACGCUGGCGGCGUGCCUAAUACAUGCAAGUCGAGCGAAGUUUUUCUGGUGCUUUGCACCGGAAAAACUUAGCGGCGAACGGGUGAGUAACACGUAAAGAACCUGCCUCAUAGACUGGGACAACUAUUGGAAACGAUAGCUAAUACCGGAUAACAGCAUUAACUGCAUGGUUGAUGUUUAAAAGUUGGUUUUUGCUAACACUAUGAGAUGGCUUUGCGGUGCAUUAG
rnacentral:rRNA from 1 species